rnacentral:rRNA from 1 species
AGUGAACGCUGGCGGUAGGCCUAACACAUGCAAGUCGAACGGCAGCACAGAGGAGCUUGCUCCUUGGGUGGCGAGUGGCGGACGGGUGAGGAAUACAUCGGAAUCUACUCUGUCGUGGGGGAUAACGUAGGGAAACUUACGCUAAUACCGCAUACGACCUACGGUUGAAAGCAGGGGAUCUUCGGACCUUGCGCGAUUGAAGGAGCCGGUGUCGGAUUAGCUAGUUGGCGGGGUAAAGGCCCACCAAGGCGACGAUCCGUAGCUGGUCUGAGAGGAUGAGCAGCCACACUGGAACUGAGACACGGUCCAGACUCCUACGGGAGGCAGCAGUGGGGAAUAUUGGACAAUGGGCGCAAGCCUGAUCCAGCCAUACCGCGUGGGUGAAGAAGGCCUUCGGGUUGUAAAGCCCUUUUGUUGGGAAAGAAAUCCAUCUGGUUAAUACCCGGGUGGGAUGACGGUACCCAAAGAAUAAGCACCGGCUAACUUCGUGCCAGCCGCCGCGGUAA